ACCCCGGGAAACUGGGGCUAAUCUCUAAUAGGUGAGGAUGCCUGGAAUGGUUUCUCAUCAAAAGGGCGCUAGAACCAAGCUUUCUAGUGUUGCCCGAGGAUGGGGCCGCGUCUGAUCAGGUUGUUGGUGAGGUAACGGCUCACCAAGCCUAUAACCAGUACGGGCCGUGAGAGCGGGAGCCCGGAGAUGGGCACUGAGAUAAGGGCCCAGGCCCUACGGGGCGCAGCAGGUGCGAAAACUCCACAAUGCACGAAAGUGUGAUGGGGCUAUCCCGAGUGCCGUCCGCUGAGGAUGGCUUUUCCAUGCUUUAAGGAGGCAUGGGAAUAAGGAGAGGGCAAGCCUGGUGUCAGCCGCCGCGGUAAUACCAGCUCUCCGAGUGGUGGGGACAAUUAUUGGGCUUAAAGCGUCCGUAGCCAGCUCUUCAAGUCUUUCGUUAAAUCCAACGAUUCAAUCGUUGGGCUGCGGGGGAUACUGCUGAGCUAGGAGUCGGGAGAAGUCGACGGUAUUUCCGGGGUAGGAGUGAAAUCCUAUAAUCCCGGGAGGACCACCAGUGGCGANNGCGGUCGGCUAGAACGUGCUCGACGGUGAGGGACGAAAGCUNGGGGAGCGAACCGGAUUAGAUNCCNGGGUAGU
rnacentral:rRNA from 1 species